rnacentral:lncRNA from 1 species
CACCUCUUGUCAAAAAUAUAUAUAUCUACAAACAAAGUCAUUGUAUUCUAAUCCUACAAGUAAUUUUAUAAAAAUCUUCUCCCAGUAGUACUUCUACUGCAUUAGUGUUGAAUUAUGCUUGUUCAUCCUGCAAAUAACAGAUAAAUAUAUUAUAUUUUGAUAAAGUAAGUUAUAAAAAUACACAAAUAUAAAUUUAAAAAGUAGAGAGGAUCACAUAAUAUCUGGGUAUAUGUCAUAAGCUUUGUGCACCCAAAGAUGGACAGUUCUUCCUAGGCCGCAUUGAACCUAAUAAGAAAAUACAAGUACAAGCCUCAAAUAGUAUUGUGCAUUGACUUAUUCCAUAAAAUUUAAUUUCAAAAUAGUAAUUGUUACGGUAGGAAGGAGAGCGUUAAUGAUCCAAGAAGUCGAUAAUCAAACUAAACUUUGAAAUGACAUUUAUAAUUUCUAACUAUUUUUUUUAUCAAUAGAUGUCACUCAAAUUCUUCAAUUACCUAAUAGCUAUUUAUCUACACAACAAAUAAAACUAAUCUUAGGCAAUAUAUUGUUCUUAGUGAAUGAACAAUAAGAGCAGUAAGGUUUUUUUUCUUAUGAAGUCAUUAGAAAAUACUAGUCAUUAUUUGGAACAAUGUUGACCAGUACAAUGCAUGUAUAACUUAUUCCUAAACCAAAUGACUCUUAAAUGCAAAAAAAGCUGAACUUCUCUAUCCAUUUCACUAUGCAAAACUUCUCCUUGGAAAAUCACUUUACAAAAUAAUACAAUGUAUUAUUACUAUACAAAGACAUGCACUAAUGGUCAAGGUAACCUAAGU